AAUCAGUAAUUGCAGGUGUGUUUUUGAAUCUCACUUCCCAGAGAUCCAAACACCCUGUGUCUCUGUUGGAA